GUGGUAGUGGUUGUAGUGGUAGUUAUAGUAGUUAGGUAAUAGUGGUUGUGGUAGUGGUUAUAGUGGUAGUUAUAGUAGUUAGGUAAUAGUGGUUGUGGUAGUGGUUGUAGUGGUAGUUGCAGUAGUUAGGUAAUAGUGGUUGUAGUGGUAGUUAUAGUAGUUAGGUAAUGGUGGUUGUGGUAGUGGUUGUAGUGGUAGUUAUAGUAGUUAGGUAAAGGUGGUAGUGGUUGUAGUGGUAGUUAUAGUAGUUAGGUAAUCGUGGUUGUGGUUGUAGUGGUAGUUAUAGUAGUUAGGUAAUCGUGGUUGUGGUAGUGGUUGUAGUGGUAGUUAGCUAAUAGUGGUUGUAGUGGUAGUUAUAGUAGUUAGGUAAUAGUGGUUGUGGUAGUGGUUGUAGUGGUAGUUAUAGUAGUUAGGUAAUAGUGGUUGUGGUAGUGGUUAUAGUGGUAGUUAUAGUAGUUAGGUAAUAGUAGUUGUAGUGGUAGUUAUAGUAGUUAGGUAAUAGUGGUUGUGGUAGUGGUUGUAGUGGUAGUUAUAGUAGUUAGGUAAUAGUGGUUGUGGUAGUGGUUAUAGUGGUAGUUAUAGUAGUUAGGUAAUAGUAGUUGUAGUGGUAGUUAUAGUAGUUAGGUAAUAGUGGUUGUGGUAGUGGUUGUAGUGGUAGUUUUAGUAGUUAGGUAAGUGGUGGUUGUGGUAGUGGUUGUAGUGGUAGUUAUAGUAGUUAGGUAAUGGUGGUUGUGGUAGUGGUUGUAGUGGUAGUUAUAGUAGUUAGGUAAUGGUGGUUGUGGUAGUGGUUGUAGUGGUAGUUGUAGUAGUUAGGUAAUGGUGGUUGU